CUCUCAGUCACCCUGGAUAACACAGUGAGAGAAUGGAGCCACCUUAGGGUCAGAUCCAACAUGCCCACCCACCAAGUCCCAAGUGCACAACCUCCUGCGGAACCAAUGCAGCUGGGACGUCUACCACUGAGAGAAGAUGUCGAUAUCAGCACCACCUUUUUCUCUAUUGUGGGGAUGCUCAACAUGUCCUCCAGAACUGUCCUGUCUGGCCGCCACUACAUAAGGACUCCGUACAGGUGGGAACCUCGGUUUUUUUGGACAUAACCCAAAAACAAGUAAUGGUUCCUUUUGUGUUACAGUGGGGUUUCGAAAGAGAGGCUGCGUACACCCUUCUGGGCUCUGGAGCUGCGGGUAACUUCAUCGACUAAUCCUUCGCUCGUAGGCUCCAUCUGCGAACCGAACGGUUGGCCACCCCGAUAACCGUGCUAGGAGUGCACGGACAGCCUCUCCACGCCAAACAGGUUACACAUUGUACUCACCCAGUGAUGCUGCAGGCGGGAAUAUUCCAUUGUGAAACCAUUUCCUUGUUAAUCCUUCUGUACUCUUGUGACCCCCUCAUACUUGGGCACCCCUGGCUCUGCAUGCACAAUCCUGUGGUUGACUGGUGGACCGGGGAGCUGAUUACCUGAUCGGAGAGAUGCUUCUCUCACUGAUUAGCCCUGCCUUGUAAAGCUACCUCAGUAGAGAGCCCUGAGCCCAAAGAUCUGUGCUGCCUGAGUAUGGUGACCUGCUAGACAUCUUUAUAGGAAUUAUUCGACCUUUCAUCUCGCCCGUAGCCUCUAGUUUCUUGUUCAUCAAUAAGAAGGACGGGGGUCUUAAACCGUGUAUUGAUUAUCAAGCUUUAAAUGCCAUAACGGUAAAGCGCGGCAAACCUCUGCCGCUCAUCCAUUCUGCCAUUGAACAGCUUUGGUCCACCCCCAACUUCACAAAACUGGACCUCAGGAGUGCGUACAACCUUAUAUGAAUCCGGAAAGGGGAUGAAUGGAAGACAUCCUUCUUAACCAGCUCUGGUCAAUACGAGUACCAGGUCAUGCCUUAUGGUUUGGCAAACAGCCCGUCUAUCCUUCAGUCUUUUAUGUAUGAGGUUUUCAGGGAUAUACUGAAUCGUUUUGUCAUAGUUUAGAUAGAUGAUUAAAGGAGAGAAGUGUGAGUUUCACCAAACAUCUCUCAAGUUUCUAGGUUACCUCAUCCAACCAGGAGCAGUGGCGAUGGACGAGCAUAAGGUAACAGCGGUGCGCGACUGGCUCACUCCCUGAACCAUCAAGGAACUUCAGAGGUUUUUGGGAUUCACGAACUUCUACCGGAGAACCAUCCGUAAUUUCAGCCACGUGGUGGCUCCUAUGACCAGCCUCACUUGCGGGUACUGUUCCCUUCUAAGAGCAUUCUGCUCUGCUCCAGCGCUUCAACAGCCGGAUCCGGAGCGCCCCUUCGAGUGACAAGGUAAUGGGCUACCGCCACCCAGUGGCUUAUUUUUCUAGGAAGCCGAGUAUGGCUGAGAAAAAUUACGACAUGGGGAAUCAAGAGCUCCUAGCCAUAAAACUGGCCUUGGAGGAGUGGCGCCACUGGCUUGAAGGGGUGGCGCACCUCGGCAUUCGACCUUCUCGCUACGUCCCCGACUACUCCUCUUGCCUUACCCUUCGAAUCUGUCAGCUUCCAAUUUCCCAAUAAACCUGUAAUCUCCCGCAUUCUAGGUCCCGUCUUUGAUGUACUGCCCAAGUCUGACAUUUGGGAUCAUUGUCUUGCUGAAAUGUCCACCCUCGUUUCAUCUUCAGCACCCUGGUAGAUGGCAGCGGAUUCCUAUAAAGUGAAAAUAUAUGACUGAAGCCUGGCUACACCUGAUAGCCAUUUCAGGGAGGUUUUCCAUGGAACUAACUACAGGUACAGGAACUAGCUAGCCAUGAACAGAAAUGAGAUCUUGAUAAUAUUGCAUAUCCCACUGACAGAAAUACAACAAUCAAUUAAAUAAGCAAUACAGUAUGUCAGAAUUCAGAAAUCCUUUGCACAGAGGCUGCGCCACGCCAGACUGAAAAAGGAAACCAGUUCUACACAAGGCAUUUGGGUUUUGAACUCAAAUCUAAAGUGUCUGUUAUCCAAAUCCAAAGUCCUCUUUCAUUUCACUCCUUCAGUUUUUUUUUCUUAAAGAAAACAGGCCAAUGAUAGCUGUUUAGCCACGAUUGCACUUAACAUUGAUCAAGCAGCUGCUGCACAAAAUCAGUGAUGUGUUCAAGACCAUCUGUUUCGAGAUUAAGAAAAGAUCACGACUCAUCCAGUCCAAGACCAAGUCAAGACCAAGACCCAUCCCAACCAUGAGCAAGUCUAGAUCAAGACUUUUAAUUAAGACCAAUACUUGAAAAUUCACAAUCAGAAUUUAGAUUUUUUUUUGGUACCCAUGCACCCAUAUUAUGGUUAUAUUUUCAUUUAUGUAAUUCCAAAAGACCCUGUUAUUGAAAAACUUUAAUGUUCACAUACUUUAAGCAAUAAUGCAUAUAUGUAAAAACACACACAAUACAACAAAGUGACAUACAUAAAGCCCUGCCCCAGCUCCCUAAUUGCGAUAGUAAAUCACAACACUAUCAAUCAACACUUAAACACUAGCACCAAUGUCCAAAACAGUCCAUUAUAUACAGGAUGCUUGUUUUCUGAAGAAUAGGCAGUGUUAAAUGACAGUCCAUAUCUAUUAAUUGAUAUGGUUACAGCAAGAUAUGUACAGCUAUUACAUGAAUGUGCUUUGCUAAAUUAAUUUUGGUCUAUAUCAUAAGAACAUUAGAGAGCUGUAAAAUAUUAUGGGAAUGAAGCAUGUAAUUUAAGGUUAUUUGUAACCAUAUAUAAAGAUAAAAAUGAAAGAGAAAUGCUUGAUAUUAACACACCAUUACAAACAAACAUCUAAUACACUAAAUUUGAUCUAAAUUUGGCUUUAAAAUGUUUCUAUGGACAACAUUACUGAAACUGUCCCCUUCAUAAGCUGCAAUUUUUUUAAUGACAUUAUGUGAAACGUUAGUUAGCCUAAUGUAGCCC